CGGGCGACGCGCCGGUCUAAGUCCCUUGGAACNGGGCGUCACAGAGGGUGAGAAUCCCGUAUGUGACCGGUGACCGCGCCCAUGUGAAACCCNUUCGACGAGUCGAGUUGUUUGGGAAUGCAGCUCAAAAUGGGUGGUAAAUUUCAUCUAAAGCUAAAUACCGGCCAGAGACCGAUAGCGCACAAGUAGAGUGAUCGAAAGAUGAAAAGCACUUUGGAAAGAGAGUCAAAAAGUACGUGAAAUUGUUGAAAGGGAAGCGCUUGCAACCAGACCUGCCCGCGGGUGAUCAACCGUCCUUCUGGGCGGUGCACUCGCCCGCGAUCAGGCCAGCAUCGGUUCGGGCGGUCGGAUAAAGGCCUUGGGAAUGUAGCUCCUCUCGGGGAGUGUUAUAGCCCUCGGUGCAAUGCGGCCUGCCCGGACCGAGGACCGCGCUUCGGCUAGGAUGCUGGCGUAAUGGUUGUAAGCGGCCCGUCUUGAAACACGGACCAAGGAGUCGACCAACUAUGCGAGUGUUUGGGUGUCAAACCCACACGCGCAAUGAAAGUGAACGGAGGUGGGAACCCCUUCCGGGGCGCACCAUCGACCGAUCCAGAUGUCUUCGGAUGGAUUUGAGUACGAGCAUAGCUGGUCGGACCCGAAAGAUGAUGAACUAUGCCUGAAUAGGGUGAAGCCAGAGGAAACUCUGGUGGAGGCUCGCAGCGGUUCUGACGUGCAAAUCGAUCGUCAAAUUUGGGCAUAGGGGCGAAAGACUAAUCGAAUCAUC
rnacentral:rRNA from 1 species